rnacentral:rRNA from 1 species
CCCCUACGGGACGCAGCAGUGGGGAAUAUUGCACAAUGGGGGAAACCCUGAUGCAGCGACGCCGCGUGAAGGAAGAAGUAUCUCGGUAUGUAAACUUCUAUCCGCAGGGAAGAAAAUGACGGUACCUGACUAAGAAGCUCCGGCUAAAUACGUGCCAGCAGCCGCGGUAAUACGUAUGGAGCAAGCGUUAUCCGGAUUUACUGGGUGUAAAGGGAGCGCAGGCGGCAUGGCAAGUCAGAUGUGAAAGUCCGAGGCUCAACCUCGGGACUGCAUUGGAAACUGUCUGGCUAGAGUGCAGGAGAGGG